CUACCCUUGACAUGGCAGGAAUCCGGAGAGAUUUGGGAGUGCUCGAAAGAGAACCUGCACACAGGUGCUGCAUGGCUGUCGUCAGCUCGUGUCUGUGAGAUGUUGGGUUAAGUCCCGCAACGAGCGCAACCCUUGCUCAUUAGUUGCUACGCAAGAGCACUCUAAUGAGACUGCCGGUGACAAACCGGAGGAAGGUGGGGAUGACGUCAGUCCUCAUGGCCCUUAUGGGUAGGGCUUCACACGUCAUACAAUGGUCGGAACAGAGGGUUGCCAAGCCGCGAGGUGGAGCCAAUCCCAGAAAACCGAUCGUAGUCCGGAUCGCAGUCUGCAACUCGACUGCGUGAAGCUGGAAUCGCUAGUAAUCGCGAAUCAGAAUGUCGCGGUGAAUACGUUCCC
rnacentral:rRNA from 1 species